rnacentral:rRNA from 1 species
GUGUCAGCAGCCGCGGUAAUACGUAGGGUGCGAGCGUUAUCCGGAAUUAUUGGGCGUAAAGGGCUCGUAGGCGGUUUGUCACGUCUGCUGUGAAAGCCCAGGGCUUAACCCUGGGUUUGCAGUGGGUACGGGCAGGCUGGAGUGCAGUAGGGGAGACUGGAAUUCCUGGUGUAGCGGUGAAAUGCGCAGAUAUCAGGAGGAACACCGAUGGCGAAGGCAGGUCUCUGGGCUGUUACUGACGCUGAGGAGCGAAAGCAUGGGGAGCGAACAGGAUUAGAAACCCCAGUAGUCC